rnacentral:rRNA from 1 species
UACGGAGGGUGCAAGCGUUAUCCGGAUUCACUGGGUUUAAAGGGUGCGUAGGCGGACAGGUAAGUCAGUGGUGAAAUCUCUGGGCUUAACCCAGAAACUGCCGUUGAUACUAUUUGUCUUGAAUAUCCUGGAGGUAGGCGGAAUAUGUCAUGUAGCGGUGAAAUGCUUAGAUAUGACAUAGAACACCGAUAGCGAAGGCAGCUUACUACAGGAUGAUUGACGCUGAGACACGAAAGCGUGGGGAGCAAACAGG